UGGACUGUUCUGGAGGCAGAAGACCCCCAUGUGUCCAUAGGACAGGUACAGUGCAGGCAGCUGUAGUACAAGCUUCCUUCAGCCCACCUCAUCCAUGUGCCUCUGACCUGGAGGGACCAACCCCAGCAGUGAGAGGGUAAUAGAAUUUCCAUGGCCCAUUCAGUCUUCAGGCUCU
rnacentral:sRNA from 1 species